CUUAAUUCAUUUUAAAUAUCCUUUUAAUUUUUGUACUACAGAUUAAACCCAGGACCUGGUGUACACUAUUGAGCAAGCCACUGAGCUGUCCUGCCCCGCCUUAGACCCCCAUCUCAGCCUCCCAGAUGCUGAGGAUACAGGGUCUACAAGCUGUUGAGUUUGGCUUGGCUGCAGUUACCUCUGGGCCUCACUGAAGAAGGACAGGCUUCAAAGCUCACCUAGUUCUUGGCUGAUGGCUUCAAAUUUGAGAUCCUCCUGCUUCAACUUCUGAGAACUGGAAAUAUUUCAGAGUAUCAACAUGUCAGGCUAAAUUAAUCUUUUAACACUCAGUCACAAGGCAAGUCUCAUCAGCUUUGCUGUAAUCUGUU
rnacentral:lncRNA from 1 species